GCCCGCUCAGAAACUUAAAGGAAUUGACGGGGCCCGCACAAGCGGAGGAGCAUGUGGUUUAAUUCGACGAUACGCGAGGAACCUUACCUGGGCUCGAACGUAAGAUGACUGUAGGUGAAAGCUUACAUCUCUUCGGAGCAUUUUACGAGGUGCUGCAUGGUUGUCGUCAGCUCGUGCCGUGAGGUGUCGGGUUAAGUCCCAUAACGAGCGCAACCCUACCUUUAGUUGCCAUCAGGUUAAGCUGGGGACUCUAAAGGAACUGCCUACGCAAGUAGUGAGGAAGGCGGGGAUGACGUCAAAUCAGCACGGCCCUUACGUCCAGGGCUACACACGUGCUACAAUGGCCGAUACAGAGGGCAGCUACCUGGUGACAGGAUGCAAAUCUCCAAAGUCGGUCUCAGUUCGGAUCGGAGUCUGCAACCCGACUCCGUGAAGUUGGAUUCGCUAGUAAUCGCGCAUCAGCCAUGGCGCGGUGAAUACGUUCCCAGGCCUU
rnacentral:rRNA from 1 species